AGAGUUUGAUCAUGGCUCAGAUUGAACGCUGGCGGCAGGCCUAACACAUGCAAGUCGAACGGUAACAGGAAGCAGCUUGCUGCUUCGCUGACGAGUGGCGGACGGGUGAGUAAUGUCUGGGAAGCUGCCUGAUGGAGGGGGAUAACUACUGGAAACGGUAGCUAAUACCGCAUAAUGUCGCAAGACCAAAGAGGGGGACCUUCGGGCCUCUUGCCAUCGGAUGUGCCCAGAUGGGAUUAGCUUGUUGGUGGGGUAACGGCUCACCAAGGCGACGAUCCCUAGCUGGUCUGAGAGGAUGACCAGCCACACUGGAACUGAGACACGGUCCAGACUCCUACGGGAGGCAGCAGUGGGGAAUAUUGCACAAUGGGCGCAAGCCUGAUGCAGCCAUGCCGCGUGUAUGAAGAAGGCCUUCGGGUUGUAAAGUACUUUCAGCGGGGAGGAAGGGAGUAAAGUUAAUACCUUUGCUCAUUGACGUUACCCGCAGAAGAAGCACCGGCUAACUCCGUGCCAGCAGCCGCGGUAAUACGGAGGGUGCAAGCGUUAAUCGGAAUUACUGGGCGUAAAGCGCACGCAGGCGGUUUGUUAAGUCAGAUGUGAAAUCCCCGGGCUCAACCUGGGAACUGCAUCUGAUACUGGCAAGCUUGAGUCUCGUAGAGGGGGGUAGAAUUCCAGGUGUAGCGGUGAAAUGCGUAGAGAUCUGGAGGAAUACCGGUGGCGAAGGCGGCCCCCUGGACGAAGACUGACGCUCAGGUGCGAAAGCGUGGGGAGCAAACAGGAUUAGAUACCCUGGUAGUCCACGCCGUAAACGAUGUCGACUUGGAGGUUGUGCCCUUGAGGCGUGGCUUCCGGAGCUAACGCGUUAAGUCGACCGCCUGGGGAGUACGGCCGCAAAGUUAAAACUCAAAUGAAUUGACGGGGGCCCGCACAAGCGGUGGAGCAUGUGGUUUAAUUCGAUGCAACGCGAAGAACCUUACCUGGUCUUGACAUCCACGGAAGUUUUCAGAGAUGAGAAUGUGCCUUCGGGAACCGUGAGACAGGUGCUGCAUGGCUGUCGUCAGCUCGUGUUGUGAAAUGUUGGGUUAAGUCCCGCAACGAGCGCAACCCUUAUCCUUUGUUGCCAGCGGUCCGGCCGGGAACUCAAAGGAGACUGCCAGUGAUAAACUGGAGGAAGGUGGGGAUGACGUCAAGUCAUCAUGGCCCUUACGACCAGGGCUACACACGUGCUACAAUGGCGCAUACAAAGAGAAGCGACCUCGCGAGAGCAAGCGGACCUCAUAAAGUGCGUCGUAGUCCGGAUUGGAGUCUGCAACUCGACUCCAUGAAGUCGGAAUCGCUAGUAAUCGUGGAUCAGAAUGCCACGGUGAAUACGUUCCCGGGCCUUGUACACACCGCCCGUCACACCAUGGGAGUGGGUUGCAAAAGAAGUAGGUAGCUUAACCUUCGGGAGGGCGCUUACCACUUUGUGAUUCAUGACUGGGGUGAAGUCGUAACAAGGUAAUCGUAGGGGAACCU
rnacentral:rRNA from 1 species